CCUACGGGGGGCUGCAGUGGGGAAUAUUGCACAAUGGGCGCAAGCCUGAUGCAGCCAUGCCGCGUGUGUGAAGAAGGCCUUCGGGUUGUAAAGCACUUUCAGCGGGGAGGAAGGCGGUGAGGUUAAUAACCUCAUCGAUUGACGUUACCCGCAGAAGAAGCACCGGCUAACUCCGUGCCAGCAGCCGCGGUAAUACGGAGGGUGCAAGCGUUAAUCGGAAUUACUGGGCGUAAAGCGCACGCAGGCGGUCUGUCAAGUCGGAUGUGAAAUCCCCGGGCUCAACCUGGGAACUGCAUUCGAAACUGGCAGGCUAGAGUCUUGUAGAGGGGGGUAGAAUUCCAGGUGUAGCGGUGAAAUGCGUAGAGAUCUGGAGGAGUACCGGUGGCGAAGGCGGCCCCCUGGACAAAGACUGACGCUCAGGUGCGGAAGCGUGGGGAGCAAACAGGAUUAGAUACCCCAGUAGUC
rnacentral:rRNA from 1 species